GAUGAACGCUGGCGGCGUGCCUAAUACAUGCAAGUCGAGCGAACGGACGAGAAGCUUGCUUCUCUGAUGUUAGCGGCGGACGGGUGAGUAACACGUGGAUAACCUACCUAUAAGACUGGGAUAACUUCGGGAAACCGGAGCUAAUACCGGAUAAUAUUUUGAACCGCAUGGUUCAAAAGUGAAAGACGGUCUUGCUGUCACUUAUAGAUGGAUCCGCGCUGCAUUAGCUAGUUGGUAAGGUAACGGCUUACCAAGGCAACGAUGCAUAGCCGACCUGAGAGGGUGAUCGGCCACACUGGAACUGAGACACGGUCCAGACUCCUACGGGAGGCAGCAGUAGGGAAUCUUCCUCAAUGGGCGAAAGCCUGACGGAGCAACGCCGCGUGAGUGAUGAAGGUCUUCGGAUCGUAAAACUCUGUUAUUAGGGAAGAACAGAUGUGUAAGUAACUGUGCACAUCUUGACGGUACCUAAUCAGAAAGCCACGGCUAACUACGUG
rnacentral:rRNA from 1 species